rnacentral:rRNA from 1 species
GACGAACGCUGGCGGCGUGCUUAACACAUGCAAGUCGAACGGAAAGGCCCUGCUUUUGUGGGGUGCUCGAGUGGCGAACGGGUGAGUAACACGUGAGUAACCUGCCCUUGACUUUGGGAUAACUUCAGGAAACUGGGGCUAAUACCGGAUAGGAGCUCCUGCUGCAUGGUGGGGGUUGGAAAGUUUCGGCGGUUGGGGAUGGACUCGCGGCUUAUCAGCUUGUUGGUGGGGUAGUGGCUUACCAAGGCUUUGACGGGUAGCCGGCCUGAGAGGGUGACCGGCCACAUUGGGACUGAGAUACGGACCAGACUCCUACGGGAGGCAGCAGUGGGGAAUAUUGCACAAUGGGCGGAAGCCUGAUGCAGCAACGCCGCGUGCGGGAUGACGGCCUUCGGGUUGUAAACCGCUUUCGCCUGUGACGAAGCGGGAGUGACGGUAAUGGGUAAAGAAGCACCGGCUAACUACGUG